UGACCCCAUGCCGAACUCAGAAGUGAAACGCCGUAGCGCCGAUGGUAGUGUGGGGUCUCCCCAUGUGAGAGUAGGGAACUGCCAGAC
rnacentral:rRNA from 3 species